rnacentral:rRNA from 1 species
CUGGCGGCGUGCUUAACACAUGCAAGUCGAACGCACGAGAUCGGUGCUUGCACUGAUCGAGUGAGUGGCAGACGGAUGAGUAAUACAUGGGAAUCUACCUUAUAGUACGGAACAACCAUUGGAAACGGUGGCUAAUGCCGUAUAUUGCCGAGAGGUGAAAGAUUUAUCGCUGUAAGAUGAGCCCAUGCGGGAUUAGCUAGUUGGUAAGGUAAUGGCUUACCAAGGCAAUGAUCUCUAGUUGGUCUGAGAGGAUGAUCAGCCAUACUGGAACUGAGACACGGUCCAGACUCCUACGGGAGGCAGCAGUGGGGAAUAUUGGACAAUAGGCGAAAGCCCGAUCCAGCAACGCCGCGUGAAUGGUAAGGCCUUAGGGUUGUAAAGUUCUUUUAGUGGGGAAAAUUAUGAUGGUACCCACAGAAAAAGCCCCGGCUAACUUCGUGCCAGCAGCCGCGGUAAUACGAAGGGGGCUAGCGUUACUCGGAAUUAUUGGGCGUAAAGCGUGCGUAGGUGGUGCUAUAAGUUAGGAGUGAAAGCCUCAGGCUCAACCUGAGAAAUGCUUUUAAUACUGUAGUGCUUGAGUUCUGAAGAGGAUAGUGGAAUUCCUAGUGUAGAGGUGACAUUCGUAGAUAUUAGGAGGAACACCGGUGGCGAAAGCGACUAUCUGGUCAGAUACUGACACUGUUGCACGAAAGCGUGGGGAGCAAACAGGAUUAGAUACCCUGGUAGUCCACGCAGUAAACUAUGAGUGCUAGGUAUUGGGACGUUUUGUUCUCAGUACCCCAGCUAACGCGUUAAGCACUCCGCCUGGGGAGUACGACCGCAAGGUUAAAACUCAAAGGAAUUGACGGGGACCCGCACAAGCGGUGGAACAUGUGGUUUAAUUCGAUGCUACGCGAAAAACCUUACCAGGUCUUGCAUAGUAGUCAUAUGGUCAUGAAAGUGAUCAGUCGGUUCGGCCGGACUAUUACAGGUGUUGCAUGGCUGUCGUCAGCUCGUGUCGUGAGAUGUUGGGUUAAGUCCCGCAACGAGCGCAACCCUUAUCCUUAGUUGCCAGCGAUUCGGUCGGGCACUUUAAGGAAACUGCCGGUGGUAAGCCGGAGGAAGGUGAGGAUGACGUCAAGUCAGCAUGGCCCUUACGACCUGGGCUACACACGUGUUACAAUGGUGGUGACAAUGAGCAGCAAAAGAGCGAUCUAGAGCUAAUCUUCAAAAGCCAUCUCAGUUCGGAUUGCACCCUGCAACUCGGGUGCAUGAAGUUGAAAUCGCUAGUAAUCGCAGAUCAGCAUGCUGCGGUGAAUACGUUCCCGGGUCUUGUACACACUGCCCGUCAAGCCAUGGGAGUUGGUUUUGCCUUAAGUAGGUGCGCUAACCGUAAGGAGGUAGCCUAUCACGGCAAGGUCGAUGACUGGGGUUAAGUCGUAACAAGGUAGCCGUAGG